rnacentral:SRP_RNA from 1 species
GCUGGGUGUGGUGGUGCAUGCCUGUAGUCCCAUCUACUCGGGAGGCUGAGGCAGAAGAAUCACUUGAACCCAGGAGGCAGAGGUUGCAGUGAGCCGAGAUUGCGCCACUGCACUCCAGCCUGGGUGACAGAGUGAGACUCUGUCUCAA